GACAGAGGGUGCAAGCGUUGUUCGGAAUCACUGGGCGUAAAGGGCGUGUAGGUGGCGGAGUAUGUCCGACGUGAAAUCCCUCGGCUUAACUGGGGAAGUGCAUCGGAAACUGCUUUGCUUGAGUGCGAGAGAGGAUGGCGGAAUUCCCAGAGUAGAGGUGAAAUUCGUAGAUACUGGGAGGAACACCGGUGGCGAAGGCGGCCAUCUGGUUCGCAACUGACACUGAGACGCGAAAGCGUGGGGAGCAAACAGG
rnacentral:rRNA from 1 species